GUAGGGCGCAAGCGUUGUCCGGAAUUAUUGGGCGUAAAGAGCUCGUAGGCGGCUUGUCGCGUCGGAUGUGAAAGCCCGGGGCUUAACCCCGGGUCUGCAUUCGAUACGGGCAGGCUAGAGUUCGGUAGGGGAGAUCGGAAUUCCUGGUGUAGCGGUGAAAUGCGCAGAUAUCAGGAGGAACACCGGUGGCGAAGGCGGAUCUCUGGGCCGAUACUGACGCUGAGGAGCGAAAGCGUGGGGAGCGAACAGGAUUAGAUACCCUGGUAGUCCACGCCGUAAACGUUGGGAACUAGGUGUGGGCGACAUUCCACGUCGUCCGUGCCGCAGCUAACGCAUUAAGUUCCCCGCCUGGGGAGUACGGCCGCAAGGCUAAA
rnacentral:rRNA from 1 species